ensembl:lncRNA
CACAACUAUAAUUAUAACGUAACAUAGACUAUAUCGAUAUAAAGGAUAUUGUCACAUCUUAUAUCUCGUAUAAAAAUAUAUCGAUAUGUUUUAAAAACUCGAUAUAUCGCCCAGCUCUACAAUGGUUAAGAAGCUUUUACACAUAAGUGAAUUAAAAUAAAUCAGUAACUUAGCACCACAUAGCAAAGGUAUUGAUGAGACUGAAUAUUCUCAGAUACGAAGCUGUGGGAGUAAUUUAUUGGAAUUUUGAAAAUCAGAAAAUUCAUAUUAACUAAUUAGCCUACAUUCAAUCUCUAAAUGAGAAGAGUGUUGAAAGGAAGAAAUGACAGAAAGCAUGGUGAGGGAGGUGUUUUGAUGCAGUGAAAUGAUAUUUGCUUUUUGAGGCGAAACUGAAUCUCUCGAUCAUAUGAUCUUUUUUUUGCUUAUUAGAAUUUGAUUUACAUGUGCAGCACUGACCGUUUACCCCGAUUUCUACGUGACUUCCACCAGUACUCUUCAGCUUGAUGUUCCGUUCAUGUGAUUAUUUGUGAGAAAUAGUCAUACACUCGAUACUCCCAACUCAGCUGUCACUCAUUUUCUGUCAUGUGUUGCUGAUUCAGAAGUUGUCACACAGAGUUAAUCCAGAGUGUACACAACCUCACUGGGUAAAGAUAAAUGCAGAGGAUGUGUAUAGUAAGAAAAGUUAGAAGUAAAUAAAUAAAUUAAAAAAAAAAAAAAAAAGUGUUCCCACUGGCUAAACCUUCCACAUAAAACAUGAGUGUUGUCAGAGAAUACACUUAGACUGGGCUACUUUUUGCUUUACUUGUGACCUUUUAUUCAGAUAUGGUGUUUACAGCUAAUUGAUUAUCUAUUAUAUCUGCCUACUUUAAUCAGCUAGUCUCUGUGUGUCUAUAUUGUAGGUGUGAACCGUCAUCUCAGGGUGUUCCAGAAAUGCUCUCAGUAUCAUGUGACUGCUGGAAUGCAGAAGUCCUCAAUGCUACAUAAUCAGCACAGAAACUAGCUGAUAUGCAGGUAGUCAGGUGUUUUCAGAGCGUGUGUGACAAUAUGUUCACUGUAUUGUAAUGGUAGUUCCCCUCCCCUCAUAAAAAAAAAACUUGGACCCUCAGAUUAUUUUCAGUAGAUUAAUUAUUUAAUAAUGAAUAAACAACUUGUUUACCUUAAUCAGUUGAUUAAUGAACAUUUUUCCCAUGGAGGUUUCUGUUGGCUUUCUCCAGCAGCAGAGGAGUGUUGUUUCUGUUGUUUGUUAAUUUUCAGACUGUAUACCAUUUCACAGAUACACCAAUUCCUGCAGGGAAGGUUUCAAAUUUGACAACUAGGCAGAAGUAUCUUCUACUUCUUGGGAAGUAUUAGCACUUGUCUGAGUUUCUGAGAACAUAUGUAUACAAUAUGAGCUGAUGAAAGCUUAGAUAUGUCUGAAAGAUUAGAUGUGUUAACUGCGUUUCAG